UACGGGGGGAGCAAGCGUUGUUCGGAUUUACUGGGCGUAAAGGGCGCGUAGGCGGCCACCGCAAGUCGGUUGUGAAAUCUCUGGGCUUAACCCAGAAAGGUCAACCGAUACUGCGGGGCUAGAGUGCAGAAGGGGCAACUGGAAUUCUCGGUGUAGCGGUGAAAUGCGUAGAUAUCGAGAGGAAUACCAAAGGCGAAGGCAGGUCACUGGGCAGUUACUGACACUGAGGCACGAAGGCUAGGGGAGCAAACGGG
rnacentral:rRNA from 1 species